GUGAAAUACAAUCGUCCUGUUCAAACGGUUUCUUCUGUGGUUCUUCUAAUUUUCUUUAUUGUUUUAUUGGGGUUCCAUAUUUGAGUGACGAGCCUAUAUUCCUGCAAACGAAGAAAAAAGCUUGCUGGGUUCGAAAGAUCAACAAACAACUGCCUAUUAUUUAUACCUUAUACAGGCAGGUGAUUUUAUUGGAGUUAUAUGAAGUGAAAGCUGGAACAGAUUGCACUAAAAUUGUUGCAGUAAUACAUACCUUAACCAUAUAUCAUGCCAAUUUAAGUGGUACUAGUAGUGGCUGGCUAAUUACUGUUGUAUUAUAAGAUGAAUCUUAAGGAUUGCAGGUAAAAUGUUGUUCAAAACCUGCAUCCACAGAAAUGAACCAUUUCAGGUCUAUUUGACCCGCGACAUCGUGUAUAGUGUGCUAUUAUUCAUUAUCUGGAUAUUGGUCUAAACUCCUUAUUCUUCUUCUUCUUCGACGA
rnacentral:misc_RNA from 1 species